AGAAUUUUAAUGGUCGAACAGACCAACCCUUAAAGACUUCUGCACCUUUAGGAUAUUCUGGUCCAACAUCGAGGUCACAAACCUUUUUUUCGAUUAGAGCUCUCAAAAAAGAUUAUGCUGUUAUCCCUACGGUAACUAAUUUCAUUAAUCAUAAUUUAUGGAUCAAAACAAGUGGGUUUUAAUAAAUUAAAGAAGCUUUUUUUGUUCCUUAGUCGCCCCAACCAAAAUCUUUAAUAAUUUUUUUUUACAUAGCAUUAAUAAAUUUUAUUAAUUUUUUUAAAGCUCGAUAGGGUCUUCUUGUCUUUUAAUUGGAUUCAGACCUCUUCAUCUGAAAGUAAAAUUCUGUUUAAUCAAAAAGAGACAGAUUUGCUCUUGUGAGACCAUUCAUUCCAGUCCUCAAUUAUAGGACAAAUUAUUAUGCUACCUUAGCACAGUUAAGAUACUGCGGCCGUUGAAAAAAAUCACUGGGCAGGCCGGACUCUUUAUAUUUAAUUUAACAAAGAGCC
rnacentral:rRNA from 1 species